rnacentral:rRNA from 1 species
UACGUAGGUGGCAAGCGUUGUCCGGAUUUAUUGGGUUUAAAGGGUGCGUAGGCGGCCUUAUAAGUCAGUGCUGAAAUAUCCCGGCUUAACCGGGAGGGUGGCAUUGAUACUGUAGGUCUUGAGUGUAGUCGAGGUAGGCGGAAUUGACGGUGUAGCGGUGAAAUGCUUAGAUAUCGUCAAGAACACCGAUAGUGUAGACAGCUUACUAGGCUACAACUGACGCUGAGGCACGAAAGUGUGGGGAUCAAACAGG